GUAUAAAAUAACAUAUAGAAUUUAUUUAAUCCAUAGAUAUACUGCACUACAUAAAUCCUUCAACUCUCAUGAUGCAGAGGAUAAUCAUGCUAUAUCUGAGACAGAUAUACUGCACUACAUAAAUCCUUCAACUCUCAUGAUGCAGAGGAUAAUCAUGCUAUAUCUGAGACAGAUUUUAUAAAUCAAUGUCAGUAUGCAUGAACUUCCAGCUUUGGAGUCAGAACAAAUCCAGUGGAUAAAGAUAUCAUUUGUAAACCUCUGUACAACUGGAAAGGUAGC
rnacentral:lncRNA from 1 species